GAUGAACGCUAGCUACAGGCUUAACACAUGCAAGUCGAGGGGAAACGCUGAGAGAGCUUGCUCUCUUAGGCGUCGACCGGCGCACGGGUGAGUAACGCGUAUCCAACCUACCCAUUACAGGGGGAUAACCUUGCGAAAGUAAGACUAAUACCCCAUGGCAUUUUAUGGUGGCAUCAUUAUAGGAUUAAAGAUUUAUUGGUAAUGGAUGGGGAUGCGUCUGAUUAGCUUGUUGGCGGGGUAACGGCCCACCAAGGCAACGAUCAGUAGGGGUUCUGAGAGGAAGGUCCCCCACAUUGGAACUGAGACACGGUCCAAACUCCUACGGGAGGCAGCAGUGAGGAAUAUUGGUCAAUGGGCGAGAGCUUGAACCAGCCAAGUAGCGUGCAGGAGGACGGCCCUAUGGGUUGUAAACUGCUUUUAUAGGGGAAUAAAGUGAGCUACGUGUAGUUUAUUGCAUGUACCCUAUGAAUAAGGACCGGCUAAUUCCGUG
rnacentral:rRNA from 1 species